AUCUACCUAUAAAUAUUUAGUAUAAGAAAUCUAUAACCUAUAUAAAUUUUCAAUAUUUGUUGCCACGUGGCAAAUUCUAUUUCACUCUCACUAGCAUGUAACUCCUUUUUUUCUCUUCACCAAAUUUUUAAUAUACAUUCUAACGAUCCCACUAAUCAAACCAUAAAUUAGUGUAUUUAAUGGUCCCACUACCAUUUACAAUUGUAUUGUUUCUAUCUACAAUAAUUCAUUAUGACUAUUUUCCUUUCCUCCACUAUUUUCAAUUAGUGCAAACGGUUCCACUACCAAACUUUCAUUUAAUAUAUUUAAAUGGUUUCAUUACCAUCUACAAUCCUAACCUUCCUUCUCUAAUUAUUAAUUAUGACAUUUUUUCUUUUCUCCACCGGACUUUCAAUUCUUUAUUUUCAAUUUAUUCAUCAAUUCUCUAUCUCUCAUUUUUACUAUACACCAUCGCUUCUUUCCCUCACUCCCUCUUUCUCUCUCACGAAUGCACGCCCACUUUCUUCUUUUGCCG
rnacentral:lncRNA from 1 species